rnacentral:rRNA from 1 species
UAGGGAAUCUUCGGCAAUGGACGAAAGUCUGACCGAGCAACGCCGCGUGAGUGAAGAAGGUUUUCGGAUCGUAAAACUCUGUUGUUAGAGAAGAACAAGGAUGAGAGUAGAACGUUCAUCCCUUGACGGUAUCUAACCAGAAAGCCACGGCUAACU